UACAGAGGUCUCAAGCGUUGUUCGGAUUCAUUGGGCGUAAAGGGUGCGUAGGCGGCGCGGUAAGUCGGGUGUGAAAUUUCGAGGCUUAACUUCGAAACUGCAUUCGAUACUGCCGUGCUUGAGGACUGGAGAGGAGACUGGAAUUUACGGUGUAGCGGUGAAAUGCGUAGAUAUCUGGAGGAACACCGGUGGCGAAGGCGGCAUCCUGGACCAACACUGACACUGAGGAGCGAAAGCCAGGGGAGCAAACGGG
rnacentral:rRNA from 1 species